AACGAACGCUGGCGGCAGGCUUAACACAUGCAAGUCGAGCGCCCCGCAAGGGGAGCGGCAGACGGGUGAGUACCGCGUGGGAACGUACCUUUUGGUUCGGAACAACUCCGGGAAACUGGAGCUAAUACCGGAUAAGCCCUAACGGGGAAAGAUUUAUCGCCGAAAGAUCGGCCCGCGUCUGAUUAGCUAGUUGGUGAGGUAACGGCUCACCAAGGCGACGAUCAGUAGCUGGUCUGAGAGGAUGAUCAGCCACACUGGGACUGAGACACGACCCAGACUCCUACGGGAGGCAGCAGUGGGGAAUAUUGGACAAGGGGCGCAAGCCUGAUCCAGCCAUGCCGCGUGAGUGAUGAAGGCCUUAGGGUUGUAAAGCUCUUUUGUCCGGGAAGAUAAUGACUGUACCGGAAGAAUAAGCCCCGGCUAACUUCGUG
rnacentral:rRNA from 1 species